GACGAACGCUGGCGGCGUGCUUAACACAUGCAAGUCGAGCGGUAAGGCCCUUCGGGGUACACGAGCGGCGAACGGGUGAGUAACACGUGGGUGACCUGCCUCUAGCUCUGGGAUAAGCCUGGGAAACUGGGUCUAAUACCGGAUAUGACUCCACGGCGCAUGUUGUGGGGUGGAAGGCCUUGUGUGGCUAGAGAUGGGCCCGCGGCCUAUCAGCUUGUUGGUGGGGUGAGGCCUACCAAGGCGACGACGGGUAGCCGGCCUGAGAGGCGACCGGCCACACUGGGACUGAGACACGGCCCAGACUCCUACGGGAGGCAGCAGUGGGGAAUCUUGCGCAAUGGGCGAAAGCCUGACGCAGCGACGCCGCGUGAGGGAUGACGGCCUGG
rnacentral:rRNA from 1 species